rnacentral:rRNA from 1 species
GAUGAACGCUGGCGGCGUGCCUAAUACAUGCAAGUCGAGCGAACGGACGAUAAGCUUGCUUCUCUGAUGUUAGCGGCGGACGGGUGAGUAACACGUGGAUAACCUACCUAUAAGACUGGGAUAACUUCGGGAAACCGGAGCUAAUACCGGAUGAUAUUUUGAACCGCAUGGUUCAAAAGUGAAAGACGGUCUUGCUGUCACUUAUAGAUGGAUCCGCGCUGCAUUAGCUAGUUGGUAAGGUAACGGCUUACCAAGGCAACGAUGCAUAGCCGACCUGAGAGGGUGAUCGGCCACACUGGAACUGAGACACGGUCCAGACUCCUACGGGAGGCAGCAGUCGGGAAUCUUCCGCAAUGGGCGAAAGCCUGACGGAGCAACGCCGCGUGAGUGAUGAAGGUCUUCGGAUCGUAAAACUCUGUUAUUAGGGAAGAACAUAUGUGUAAGUAACUGUGCACAUCUUGACGGUACCUAAUCAGAAAGCCACGGCUAACUACGUG